CAGCUGACUUACCGUAUGGCUGUCCCUGCAGGUCGUACUGCUGCAUGCGGUACACCGUGAACUCAUGUGCCGCCUCGGCCGGGAGCGGUGACACUAGGAUCAGUACCGCGGGGAUAAACACAAUAAAGCACUCCUGGGAAUGUCCUGAAUCAGACCAGCUUUUGCUCCCGACCCCCGGCCGCAGAAAAACACUUUCUCUGUGCGACCACACAAAAGGUGCAGUCAGUGUGUGUGUGGAGGAUGCUGUCAUUUUCUCACCACAUCGUAGGGCUGCUGAAACACUUGCCACACUGACGUGUUUAAACCGCUCAACAACAAGAUUUACAGCACGGAGCAGCAGUUGGAGCCACCGGCCGCCAUGUCUCUACCUCCAAGCGACAUCAUUAGGAUGUCCCUGCUACUGUACUGCAAGUGUUUUCUUUUUAACUCCGUUGUUCACAUAUUCUGUGGUGCAGUAGUGCCAUUAAAUUCUGAUUUUUAACUAU